rnacentral:rRNA from 1 species
UCAUCAUGCCCCUUAUGACCUGGGCUACACACGUGCUACGAAUGGUUGGUACAACGAGUUGCGAGUCGGUGACGGCGAGCUAAUCUCUUAAAGCCAAUCUCAGUUCGGAUUGUAGGCUGCAACUCGCCUACAUGAAGUCGGAAUCGCUAGUAAUCGCGGAUCAGCACGCCGCGGUGAAUACGUUCCCGGGCCUU